UACAGAGGUCUCAAGCGUUGUUCGGAUUCAUUGGGCGUAAAGGGUGCGUAGGUGGCGCGGUAAGUCGGGUGUGAAAUUUCGGAGCUUAACUCCGAAACUGCAUUCGAUACUGCCGUGCUUGAGGACUGGAGAGGAGACUGGAAUUUACGGUGUAGCAGUGAAAUGCGUAGAGAUCGUAAGGAAAACCAGUGGCGAAGGCGGGUCUCUGGACAGUUCCUGACACUGAGGCACGAAGGCCAGGGGAGCAAACGGG
rnacentral:rRNA from 1 species